UUGCUAUGAUGAAAGCUCAACUCGUUGAAAGCAUUUCUGUGUUUGAUGUGACAUCAACAUGGUGGAGACCAUGUUGAAUCUGAGCGGUUACCUGAGCAA
rnacentral:snoRNA from 1 species